GAGUUCAAUCUAAGCUUGCUUUUUCCCUUUCGAGUGUACUGGAUCGAUAGGUGAGAAAAGUUUUUAUGAACAAGAAGUUAUAAACUUCUCUUAUAUGCCAUCUAAAAUUUAUGUUUAAGUAAAAUGCACCACAAGUACUCUUAACUUAUCGCUCUGCAUCAACUAGGUCUCCAAACUUCUAAAAUAAGUAAAAUAUGGCGCAACAGACGCAGGGCACAUGUGGGGGAGAGGGAGACGGGGGCGUAGGGAAGAUUAGCCCUGCCGGUGCUCUUCAUCAUCAUGAUUCUGGCGUGGUGUUCUUCAUCUCCGGCCUGCUCCAUCUCCUCGUCCUCGUCCUCGUCC
rnacentral:lncRNA from 1 species